GUGCCAGCAGCCGCGGUAAUACGGAGGGGGCAAGCGUUGUUCGGAAUUACUGGGCGUAAAGGGCGCGUAGGCGGAAUAUCAAGUUAGGGGUGAAAGGCCUGGGCUCAACCUAGGAACGGCCUCUAAAACUGAUAAUCUAGAGUCCGGAAGAGGAUGGCGGAAUUCCUAGUGUAGAGGUGAAAUUCGUAGAUAUUAGGAAGAACACCGGUGGCGAAGGCGACCA
rnacentral:rRNA from 1 species